UUAGUCUGAAAUUUGUGGUAGCGGUAGAACAGUCACACGCUUUCACAUCGCAACACCUCGACUGAACCGUCUGUGCCUCAUCCAUAAAAAGGUGAGUACAAUUGGUACACAGGGGACAGACACAAAUUGAAUAGAAAAACUAUUCGAGAUUAAAUGGAUAGGUAUUGUUAGGCUACUUUUAUUUUAGUUUAAAGGAGAUACGAGCAAGUGCGCGAGGCAAGAAUAAGCAACAAUUUGUAGUCACACCACACUCACCUACCUACAACACGCCAAGUGUGGCUGAUACUCCAUUGUAGCCAAGUUUGUCAUAUAGUCAUUGUGUUUGAAGUCAUAUGUCAUUUAUAGACAGUUUACAGGUUGAUAUAACUUGUUAUGGUGUUUGUAUGCCACCAGUGACUCAAUAACUAACUACUACAGAGAGAGAGAGAGCAUUUGAAAUUGGAAUUAAUGUCGGCUACUACUUGUGUACUUAUUUUUGUAUUGUUCUAAUGUAUUUUAUGGGCAGGAGCCGAGUUAGUAUUGCAGUGUAGCCUUAUACUUGGCAAGGAAAGGGAACGUGUUGAGAUCUGUGUGAAAAUUGUGAAAGGUCUUUCCUGCCCUGUGCGUUGUACCAUAAUAGGGUGUGUAAGACAUGCAUGCAUGGGCAUGAAGUAAUGCUUUGUUCAAUAUUAAACUGAACAUAGUGUAUCUUGGAUAUUGCCAAGGCUCCCUUCCUAAAACGUUGUCAUGUGUCUCUAGUCCAUUUUGGGUGAGGGUUCUGUUCACAUAAUAAUAUAUGUAAUUACAGGAGCUUUUAUCAAAUGUCUAUUCAGUGAAGGUCAGAGAGAACUUUUAAAGCUCAGGUGAUUGGUGUUCUUACAGUCGACCUGUAUGUCCUUUGGUCAUAAGCAGUCAUAUGCAGUCUUAUGGUGGACUCAGACAUGAAGCUGCUGUGGAGAUAGUAUACAGUAUAAUAGAGGGAAUCUGUGUCUUGUGAAGCUGACAUUUGUCUUGGACUUUCUAUUGAUGUACUUCUGUUCAGUGGCGACCGGCAUUUCUGACCAGAUAAUGGCUUGUUUUUCAACAUCUGAGGAAAACGUCCUGAAGCCAUAGAAAUGACCACAGGACCGUUUGUAGUUAUAACAACAGUUCAUCGUGUUCAUGUGUGGCGUGCUUAGAAAAUAAUCCAUGCAUCAGCUGUGCAAACUGAUCUGAGCCUGCAGACCUUUACCUAUACUCAGAUAUGCAGUGUGAAAGAUUUGAUCCUUGACUCACUGUUAUUGAUAAGGUGAUUUGCACAUUUGGAGAGGUUAGGAAGGAAGUCAAAGUUAAAGGUUGUCCCCAUCUUUGCAGGGUUUUUUCUUCCCAUAUAUAAGUCCCAUAUAAUUAGUAUCCACUAUCCAUCCGAUUGGAUAUACUCUGAAAACAUGUUGAUUAUCAGAUGGUUAGUGCCAUGUUAUCCUCUUGGUGAACUCUAGGUUGGUGCUGUUGGGCUUGUAAUUACCCCUGAACCCUAGAUGUAUUUAGCUCACUUCAGCCCUGGGUCACACUGGAGAGGAGAGAAGGGUGCCUUAUAUGAAUACCUCAUGCCAUGUGUACAUGUGUGUGUGUGUCUGAGGUGGGGGAGUAAUGGGUCUUGUGUCCUGUUGUCCUCCAGGAGUAUGACCCUCUGCCUCUAUCCCCCUCCCUUACUCAUGAAAUACACCCCACAGUCAGAAUAUUUGUUUUCUCCUUUUUAAACUGAAAUAAGAGGCCCUGUCAGAAAAAAAGUAUUGGCAAUGUCUGUUUUAGUAGCUGAAUCAUUGUGGUCCACGUCACCAUCGGCCUGUUAUCUUUUAUGGUGUUUACUGAUGUCCCAGGCGGCUAUGCUAACAAAGCUAACAUCUACGCACAUUCCAAAACUGUAAUAUAAACUAUAAACUAUAAUAUUUAUUACGUACAAACACAGUGUGUGUGGACGUGUUUCAUUAACGUAACACUUUUUCAAGUUCCUGUAAAAACUCCAAUCAGUUUUGAAAUAAAGAUUUAUUCACCCAUGAUGCAUCAUCUAGAGGGGUAGUUGAAGUUAAGUUCAUUUAUUUGCUUAUAUGCCUUCAGAAUGAGGUUGUUAUUCUCAAACACCCCUUUCCCCACAUGGCUGGCUCAUUAUCAAAAGGCUAAAAAGGUCAAAUUGGGAAAAAAAUCGUUAAAUUUUGUCUAAAAUGUUUUAAUUUGAUCUGUUAUGUUUAAUUCAGGCCUUUUAAUUAGGAGAGCAAUGUUGCAAAAUAUUAGUCAUUGUUUGUAACUUUUUGGGAUUUUAUGCAAAUUGUGGUAAAAUUAAAUAGAUAACUUCAGAUCCUAAUCUCAGUGAUCCAUGAGGACACUUUUGGAAAAAUUACACUUGAGAAUUUGUUAGCCAAAUGUCAAUUUCGUGAGAAUGACCCCCUUAGUCCAACCAUUUGAAAGCAUGUUUACCCCUGCAGAGGUGUGUGUGUUGAGAUGUACUUGAGCUCUCUCUUCUCCAGACAGAGUUUUGGCUAACUCCUUCCUCUAUGUAGUACUUCCUGGACAUGAAAACUCAGUUUGAGUCUGGACUUCUGCUCACUCACUCCUGUGUCAUAACUUAACUAACAAUGAUUUAGUUGUUCUGUACUAACAAUUCUGCUCAUUUCAAUGGAAAAGGAAUGUAAAAAUUAGAGGUCGACAUAUUAAUCGUCAUGUCCGACUAAUCAGGGCCGAUUUCGAAUUUUCAUAACAAUCGGUAAUCGGCAUUUUUGGACGAUUAUGGCCGAUUACAUUGAGGCACAGCGCGGUUUAUGACUUCAAACCUAUCAACUCCCGAGAUUAGGCUGGCAAUACUAAAGUGCCUAUAAGAACAUCCAAUAGUCAAAGGUAUAUCAAAUACAAAUGGUAUAGAGAGAAAUAAUCGACAUGUCAUAAUUCCUAUAAUAACUACAACCUAAAACUUCUUAACUGGUAAUAUUGAAGAACUGAGAAUAUUGAACCACCAGCUUUCAUAUGUUCUGAGCAAGGAACUUAAAUGUUAGCUUUUUUACAUGGCAAAUAUUGCACUUUUACUUUCUUCUCCAACACUGUGUUCUUGCAUUAUUUAAACCAAAUUGAGCAUGUUUCAUUAUUUAUUUGAGACUAAAUAGAUUUUAUUAAUAUAUUAUAUUAAGUUAAAAUAAAAGUGUUCAUUGUUCAUUCAGUAUUGCUGUAAUUGUCAUUAUUACAAAUAUAUAUAUAUAAAAAUCGGCCGAUUAAUCGGCAUCGGGCUUUUUUGGUCCUCCAAUAAUCGGUAUCGGUAUCGGCAUUAAAAAAAAAAGUGAAUUGGACGACCUCUAGUAAAAAUACUAAUGUUAAACUAAUGAAUUUCAACAGAGCAUGAAAGGCUUGACUGCACCAUGCAUGCUAUACUGUAUGUCUGUGACUGUUGGUAUAGUCAGUUCAGAUAAAGCAACAUUGGCGUCAGUAGGACCCCCCCCCUCCAAAGCCCACAGUCAUUGGGGGAAAAAACUCUUGUUUGCCACUAACUUACCAGUAUAAAAAAGGUUAGCUGACACGGGCUAAUUGAGCGACUAUAAGUGAGUGACAUAACAUGAGAAAAACUGCUGAUGCACAACCACAUUUCAAAAUUGCAACCUGUGUAUGCUACUAUUCUGACUUACAACAGUAUGUUGAGACCUCAACGGGCUCCUCCCCAAUAAAAAUAUAUAAAUAUAUCAUUAUAAUUUUUGGAAAAUGUAUCCAAGGGCCUUCAAAAGAGGGGUCACAUGCCACAGACUAACUUACUUUGAUAAGUCAAGCGGCCAGCUAUCUAAACCUGUAGUAGGCCUAAUCAUGGUUGAAUCACCGACACCAUUGAUUUUGUUAGUCACUUAAUCGCUGCAAACAUUUCUCUCCACCCUAUUGCAAAAUGUGUAGAAUUGCAGGAAAUUAGCUGUAACACCGCGGCCCCUCAUGUUGAGUUAAGAUUUUAAAAAAAAAUCAAAGUAGCCCAUCCCUGCCCUACAGUAUGGCACUUUCUUGCCAGGUGGUUGAGAAAUGUGUCAGUCAAGCCCUCUGGGCGUCCAGUGAUUCGCAUUGGUGUUGGGUUUAGUUCCAACGCAUCCCUGCUAUUCCAGGGUGUGUCUCUGGCUCUGCCUGGCCUGCUACUCUCUCCUCACAAGGUUCCAACACGUCCCUGGUCUUCUAGGGUGUGUCUCUGGCUCUGCCUGGCCUGCUACUCUCUCCUCACAAGGUUCCAACACGUCCCUGGUCUUCUAGGGUGUGUCUCUGGCUCUGCCUGGCCUGCUACUCUCUCCUCACAAGGUUCCAACACGUCCCUGGUCUUCUAGGGUGUGUCUCUGGCUCUGCCUGGCCUGCUACUCUCUCCUCACAAGGUUCCAACACGUCCCUGGUCUUCUAGGGUGUGUCUCUGGCUCUGCCUGGUCCUGCUACUCUCUCCUCACAAGGUUCCAACACGUCCCUGGUCUUCUAGGGUGUGUCUCUGGCUCUGCCUGGUCCUGCUACUCUCUCCUCACAAGGUUCCAACACGUCCCUGGUCUUCUAGGGUGUGUCUCUGGCUCUGCCUGGUCCUGCUACUCUCUCCUCACAAGGUUCCAACACGUCCCUGGUCUUCUAGGGUGUGUCUCUGGCUCUGCCUGGUCCUGCUACUCUCUCCUCACAAGGUUCCAACGCGUCCCUGGUCUUCUAGGGUGUGUCUCUGGCUCUGCCUGGCCUGCUACUCUCUCCUCACAAGGUUCCAACACGUCCCUGGUCUUCUAGGGUGUGUCUCUGGCUCUGCCUGGCCUGCUACUCUCUCCUCACAAGGUUCCAACACGUCCCUGGUCUUCUAGGGUGUGUCUCUGGCUCUGCCUGGUCCUGCUACUCUCUCCUCACAAGGUUCCAACGCGUCCCUGGUCUUCUAGGGUGUGUCUCUGGCUCUGCCUGGCCUGCUACUCUCUCCUCACAAGGUUCCAACACGUCCCUGGUCUUCUAGGGUGUGUCUCUGGCUCUGCCUGGCCUGCUACUCUCUCCUCACAAGGUUCCAACACGUCCCUGGUCUUCUAGGGUGUGUCUCUGGCUCUGCCUGGCCUGCUACUCUCUCCUCACAAGGUUCCAACACAUCCCUGGUCUUCUAGGGUGUGUCUCUGGCUCUGCCUGGUCCUGCUACUCUCUCCUCACAAGGUUCCAACACGUCCCUGGUCUUCUAGGGUGUGUCUCUGGCUCUGCCUGGUCCUGCUACUCUCUCCUCACAAGGUUCCAACACGUCCCUGGUCUUCUAUGGUGUGUCUCUGGCUCUGCCUGGCCCUGCUACUCUCUCCUCACAAGGUUCCAACGCGUCCCUGCUAUUCCAGGGUGUGUCUCUGGCUCUGCCUGGUCCUGCUACUCUCUCCUCACAAGGUUCCAACACGUCCCUGGUCUUCUAGGGUGUGUCUCUGGCUCUGCCUGGUCCUGCUACUCUCUCCUCACAAGGUUCCAACACGUCCCUGGUCUUCUAGGGUGUGUCUCUGGCUCUGCCUGGUCCUGCUACUCUCUCCUCACAAGGUUCCAACGCGUCCCUGGUCUUCUAGGGUGUGUCUCUGGCUCUGCCUGGCCUGCUACUCUCUCCUCACAAGGUUCCAACACGUCCCUGGUCUUCUAGGGUGUGUCUCUGGCUCUGCCUGGCCUGCUACUCUCUCCUCACAAGGUUCCAACACAUCCCUGGUCUUCUAGGGUGUGUCUCUGGCUCUGCCUGGUCCUGCUACUCUCUCCUCACAAGGUUCCAACACGUCCCUGGUCUUCUAGGGUGUGUCUCUGGCUCUGCCUGGUCCUGCUACUCUCUCCUCACAAGGUUCCAACACGUCCCUGGUCUUCUAUGGUGUGUCUCUGGCUCUGCCUGGCCCUGCUACUCUCUCCUCACAAGGUUCCAAUGCGUCCCUGCUAUUCCAGGGUGUGUCUCUGGCUCUGCCUGGUCCUGCUACUCUCUCCUCACAAGGUUCCAACACGUCCCUGGUCUUCUAGGGUGUGUCUCUGGCUCUGCCUGGUCCUGCUACUCUCUCCUCACAAGGUUCCAACGCGUCCCUGCUAUUCCAGGGUGUGUCUCUGGCUCUGCCUGGUCCUGCUACUCUCUCCUCACAAGGUUCCAACACGUCCCUGGUCUUCUAGGGUGUGUCUCUGGCUCUGCCUGGUCCUGCUACUCUCUCCUCACAAGGUUCCAACGCGUCCCUGCUAUUCCAGGGUGUGUCUCUGGCUCUGCCUGGUCCUGCUACUCUCUCC